rnacentral:rRNA from 1 species
GUUUGAUCAUGGCUCAGGACAAACGCUGGCGGCGUGCUUAACACAUGCAAGUCGAACGGUCUCUCUUCGGAGAGAUAGUGGCGGACGGGUGAGUAACACGUAGUUGACCUGCCCCUCGGUGGGGAAUAACUCCUCGAAAGAGGUGCUAAUACCGCAUACGCUCACAGUUGUUGGAUUGUGAGGAAACGCGAGAGUGACCGAGGGAGGGGACUGCGGCGGAUUAGCUAGUUGGUGGGGUAAUGGCCUACCAAGGCGACGAUCCGUAGCUGGUCUGAGAGGACGACCAGCCACACUGGGACUGAGACACGGCCCAGACUCCUACGGGAGGCAGCAGUGAGGAAUAUUCCACAAUGGGCGAAAGCCUGAUGGAGCGACGCCGCGUGCGGGAUGAAGCCCUUUGGGGUGUAAACCGCUUUUUUAGGGGAUGAUACGGCGGGGUUACCCGUCUAAGACAGUACCUUAAGAAUAAGCAUCGGCUAACUACGUUCCAGCAGCCGCGGUAAUACGUAGGAUGCAAGCGUUGUCCGGAUUUACUGGGCGUUAAACGCGCGCAGGCHGCUCUUUAAG